CCACGGGACUCCCACCCUCGACAUGAGCGCUGUGCCUGCCUCUGGCGCUGCCUGUCAGACCCGCUUCAGCUGGAAUCAAGUAGGUACGUGCUGGCAACAGAGGAAUGCAGAGCUUGUCGUGCUAUUCUGCUUCAUAAACCUGUGUCCUUGAAGUCUCCUGCAUCCCUGCCCUGUCAGACUGAUUUAUGCAGUAGCCAUGUUUGUCAAAGUAUUUGGCACCAAUGACAUCAUCUUUGUUGAAAUGCUGGACAGCGUGAUGAGUCCCAGAUGUUAAUGCACACCAAAAGUUAAGAGAGAAUGAAAUAUAAAGAUCAACUGUAACAGCCA
rnacentral:lncRNA from 1 species